GUUGAAACACCGAUUCCAGCAUGAUGACCAAAGUUAAGCAAUAUCGAGCAUGGUUAGUACCUAGAUGGGUGACCGCUCAGGAAUACCAGGUGCUGUAC